rnacentral:lncRNA from 1 species
CACACAUUUAAAGAAAUACUGGGUAUCUGAAGUUCAGUUACUUCACUGGCCCGGGUACUUAUGUCUCCCAUAUAACAACGGGAUAAUUAUCAUUUCACCCUUUACAUUUAACACGGUAUGAUGUGGUAAAGCUGCUCGACGUUUUAAACAUAUAAUGUAUGUACAUUAAUCAGUAAGAAUCAGUCCUUAUUCAAAUAAUGAAAAGCAGUUAGCACUGUCUUUCCUUUUCCCUAAAACAAAAAGGGGGGUCAUGAUCAUCCCCAGCAAUAAGAAACAAUUCCAAGUUACCCAUAUGAAGACAAGACUGGGAUUAACAACAACAACUACCCAGUAUAGUCCCACAAAAUGGGGUCUGGAAGACUGGGAUUAAGGAGAUAAUAUUAAUAAUAAUAGUAAUAAUACCAAAGGCGCCAGAUUUAGUUUUCUGUAACAAAUGAUCAUCUGCGCGUGGAAAAGCAUCCAGGGCUUUUAGAACUUGCUUCACCCCCAUCUCUUCUCUAUAUUUUCUG